rnacentral:rRNA from 1 species
UACGUAGGGCGCAAGCGUUAUCCGGAAUUAUUGGGCGUAAAGAGCUCGUAGGCGGUCUGUCGCGUCUGCUGUGAAAACUCAGGGCUUAACCCUGAGCUUGCAGUGGGUACGGGCAGACUAGAGUGCGGUAGGGGAGACUGGAAUUCCUGGUGUAGCGGUGAAAUGCGCAGAUAUCAGGAGGAACACCGGUGGCGAAGGCGGGGUCUCUGGGCCGUAACUGACGCUGGAGGA